rnacentral:rRNA from 1 species
CCUACGGGUAGCAGCAGUGGGGAAUAUUGCGCAAUGGGCGAAAGCCUGACGCAGCGACGCAGCGUGAGGGAUGAAGGUCUUCGGAUCGUAAACCUCUGUCAGCAGGGAAGAACGGUCACUGUGCUAAUCAGCAGUGAAUUGACGGUACCUGCAAAGGAAGCACCGGCUAACUCCGUGCCAGCAGCCGCGGUAAUACGGAGGGUGCGAGCGUUAAUCGGAAUUACUGGGCGUAAAGCGCUCGUAGGCGGUAUGUCAAGUCAAGGGUGAAAUCCCCGCGCUCAACGGGGGAACUGCCUUUGAAACUGGCAAACUGGAGUGUGUGAGAGGAGAGUGGAAUUCCAGGUGUAGGAGUGAAAUCCGUAGAUAUCUGGAGGAACAUCAGUGGCGAAGGCGACUAUCUGGAACAUAACUGACGCUGAGGAGCGAAAGCGUGGGUAGCAAACAGGAUUAGAUACCCUUGUAGUC